CACACACUCAACAGAAACAAGCUAGAGUGAUGACUGCACAUGCUCAGUAGGAUUCUCUCUCUGCCUGUGGAAAAGGAGCAGGAUCAUUUCACCGCAGGAGAAGUUUUUAACAAAAUACUAAUUUUGAGGCGAUUUUCCUGGAAAAAGGUGGCAGUGACCAACAGGUUAAGUGAUAGGCUGUGUCAGACGCAUGCUGAAGAUCUACAUUUCGAUUCUUGUCUUGGAUUAAAUUGAUCGUUUUGAUGAAGCUGUUGGAUGAAUUUGCUUGACAGGCAUCAGCGACAGACUCAGCGGAAAAGUGAAGUUUUUGCCCUCAGCCAAGGCCAGAGCUUGGCACACCUGCACGGUGGUUUUUAAGAUCGCUAUCUGAGUGAUUUCCUGAUGACUCAGAGAGUUUCCAUCAAGUAGGAUCCUAAACCCAAAAGUUCCUGUCUGCAGGAGCAGGAGACACAGAGCAGCCAACCCAGACAUCAUUGCACAGCCUGCCUGAUAAACACAGCAGAAAACAUGAAAACAGAUUAUUUUACUGGUGUCAGUUUUUACUAAUGUCAAAAAUUUACCAAUUGUUAUAAGUGUUUAGCGUGAAAGUUAAUUUUUGUACCAGUUCAACCACCACAACACAAAUAGGAAGACAAUUUAAAAAUAUGAAAAUCUGACUUGUUAAAUUGUAUGGGUUUUUUUUAAAUUACCAUUAAUUAUCAGAUACUGUACCUUUGGUCUUGAUGUCAUCUUGUAGACUGUCAAUCUAUUGUGGCAAUGUCUUUUAUAAUGCUCUAUGUCCUGGGUACUGCUGUCCUUGACCCGUUUGACUUGUUUGACUUGUUACUGUGGCCAAAAAACAAGUGCUUUUGAAUUCUUUCAUUUUCAUUUUCAAAAUCAGAAUCAGCUUUAUUUGCCAGGUAUGUGUAC